rnacentral:misc_RNA from 1 species
UGGCUCUCGCAUCGAUGAAGAACGCAGCGAAAUGCGAUAAGUAAUGUGAAUUGCAGAAUUCAGUGAAUCAUCGAAUCUUUGAACGCACCUUGCGCUCCUUGGUAUUCCUCGGAGCAUGCCUGUUUGAGUAUCAUGAAAUUCUCAAAGUCAAGUCUUUUGUUAAUUCGAUCGGCUUCUGCUUUGGAUCUGGAGGUUUGCAGAUUUCACAGUCCGCUCCUCUUAAAUAAAUUAGCUGGAUCUCCAUGAACUUGGUUCCACUCGGCGUGAUAAGUAUCACUCGCUGAGGACACCCGUUAAAAAGGUGGCCAGGCUUGAGGAUGAGCCGCUUCUAACCGUCCAUUUUAAUUGGACAAUUUUAUUUACGAUCUGAUCUCAAAUCAGGUAGGACUACCCGCUGA